CAGCCGCCGCGGGAAAACGUAGGGCGCAUGCGUUAAUCGGAAUUACUGGGCGUAAAGCGUGCGCAGGCGGUUCUAUAAGACAGAUGUGAAAUCCCCGGGCUCAACCUGGGAACUGCAUUUGUGACUGUAGAGCUGGAGUGCGGCAGAGGGGGAUGGGAUUCCGCGUGUAGCAGUGAAAUGCGUAGAUAUGCGGAGGAACACCGAUGGCGAAGGCAAUCCCCUGAGCCUGCACUGACGCUCAUGCACGAAAGCGUGGGGAGCAAACAGGAUUAGAUACCCCCGUAGUCCCUGUCUCUUAUAC
rnacentral:rRNA from 1 species